rnacentral:rRNA from 1 species
GACAGAGGGUGCAAACGUUGCUCGGAAUUACUGGGCGUAAAGCGCGUGUAGGCGGACUGGUGUGUCGGAUGUGAAAUCCCUGGGCUCAACCCAGGAACUGCAUUCGAAACUGCCAGCCUUGAGUGGUGGAGAGGGAAGUGGAAUUCCUGGUGUAGAGGUGAAAUUCGUAGAUAUCAGGAGGAACACCAGUGGCGAAGGCGGCUUCCUGGACACCAACUGACGCUGAGACGCGAAAGCGUGGGGAGCAAACAGG